GACGAACGCUGGCGGCGUGCCUAACACAUGCAAGUCGAGCGGAGAUGUACUGAAGAUUUAUCGGAUGUACAUCUUAGCGGCGGACGGGUGAGUAACGCGUGGGCAACCUGCCUUUCACUGGGGGAUAACACAGGGAAACCUGUGCUAAUACCGCAUGACAUCACGUAGGGCAUCCUAUGUGAUCAAAGGAGAGAUCCGGUGGAAGAUGGGCCCGCGUCCAAUUAGCUGGUUGGUGAGGUAAAGGCUCACCAAGGCGACGAUUGGUAGCCGAACUGAGAGGUUGAUCGGCCACAUUGGGACUGAGACACGGCCCAGACUCCUACGGGAGGCAGCAGUGGGGAAUAUUGCGCAAUGGGGGGAACCCUGACGCAGCAACGCCGCGUGAAGGAAGAAGGUCUUCGGAUUGUAAACUUCUUUUGAUGAGGGACGAAUAAAGUGACGGUACCUCAAAAACAAGCCACGGCUAACUACGUGCCAGCAGGCGCGGUAAAAGUCACG
rnacentral:rRNA from 1 species